UUGAAAGACUGGUCAUUGAGAGCAAUGCCAGCCCCAGCAUUAAAGGUGGAAGAGUGGGGUGUCACUGUUAAAGUCACAGGAGACAACCUGGUCCUCAGUGUAGCCCAAGAUGCCCUUGAGGGGGCCCUCUGAUGCCUGCUUCACCACCUUCUUGAUUCAUCAUAUUUG
rnacentral:lncRNA from 1 species